GGGGAUUUAGCUCAGUGGUAGAGCGCUUGCCUAGCAAAGCGCAAGGCCCUGGGUUCGGUCCCCAGCUCCG
rfam:Rattus norvegicus chromosome 1, whole genome shotgun sequence.